rnacentral:misc_RNA from 1 species
AACGCACGAGACCUGCGGACCUGCGGAAGGAUCAUUACUGAGUGAGGGCCCCUCGGGGUCCAACCUCCCACCCGUGUUUAACGAACCUUUGUUGCUUCGGCGGGCCCGCCUCACGGCCGCCGGGGGGCUCCUGCCCCCGGGCCCGCGCCCGCCGAAGCCCCCCCUUGAACGCUGUCUGAAGUUUGCAGUCUGAGAAACUAGCUAAAUUAGUUAAAACUUUUAGCAACGGAUCUCUAGAUC